UCCCUCCCUCCCUCCUCCGGCCCGAAGCGCACGUCUCUAUGCGCCUCUGUCCACCGAGCUCCGUCUACACUCAACUGGAAGCAUGUUAAAGGACCUGUAACGGUAUGGGCCCUCCGGGGCCAUAUGGCGAGGGGGAAGCCAGGAGGGUUUUUUUUUUUCCUUUUUUGGUCCCCGAAGAGGAGACACCACAUGGUCACUCGUGGGAACGAAAUACUGACGCAUCUUCACCCGGACUGAAAGCCUCCACCCCGGGUGGAGCGCAGUGAGUUGAGCCCGUGAUGGUGCCAGGGUUGGUGGUUCCAUUCCCUGAAUGAUGCGGGAGGAGCAAGGCACCGGACCAACACUGCCAGGGUUGGAUGGAGUUGAGAGGAGGAGGAGGAGGAGGGGGCAGGGAGGGGUGUCUUAUAGAGGCCACCCGUGCUAAAAUGCAGUAAGCUUCAAGGAAAUGGCAGGUUUUGAAUCAGCACUUUCUCAGGAGAGGGUUUUACGCACGCCUCCCCCGAGUCCUUAAUGACGCUUACGCAUAAAAAAAACCUGUCGUUAACGUGAUGAAAGAUUACUGUAGUAAUCACAUGAAAAAUUAAAUGUAUUCCAUGCUACUCAGUGAAUCUAUAUGUGCUUUAUUGUAAAAAUCAAUUAAAUUUUUUAUAGGUUAGGUUUGCCGUGAUGUGUCGUAUUAUGCUUAAGUUCUUUAUCUUUUCGAGGCCCUUGAUUUAAAACUAGACCUAGUCUUUAUCUGUCUGGUUCGUCUGUUUUACCUGCUGAAACGCAGAGAUCAACAGGCUCCUUUGUGUUCAGAUCAGAUUACUGUGGCCAGCUGCUGGAAGAGGGGGCCACAGGCCAGAUCCGCGGCUCCCCAGGGCUCUUCAGGGCUCCGCGAGGCUCCCCACAGCUUCCCACGGCUACUGGAGGCUCCCAGUCCGGGCUGCUGUCUCAUUUGCAUACGUUGCUGUUACUGGAGACGUGCUGAGCUUAAGUUUAUGGGAAGAGUGCAGCAGUAAUUACGUGGGGGGGCCAGAGACGCGCCUGCAAGUGUGUGUGUGUGUGUGCGUGCGCGCGCGUGUGCGUUAUAAGUGUGUGUGAGUAGGGAGGGGGUGGUGUGUGUGUGUGUGUGUGUGUGUGUGUGUGUGUGUGUAUGCGCAGAGACACUGGGGACCUAAGGGGGAGGUAAGAGGGAGCUGUACGUGGCCAGUCGCGUGCCAGUGUUUAUGAAAACACAUCUGCCGCGCAACCCGGGCUUGACGCACCACAACAUAUGCGGGUCCCUAUGAAUAAAAUCGAUAAUUCAACAACUGAUACUGUGCGCGACACGUUUA